rnacentral:rRNA from 1 species
UACGUAGGUGGCAAGCGUUGUCCGGAUUUACUGGGCGUAAAGAGCGCGCAGGCGGUCGUUCAAGUCGCGUGUGAAAGCCCCCGGCUCAACUGGGGAGGGUCACGCGAUACUGAUCGACUCGAAGGCAGGAGAGGGAAGUGGAAUUCCCGGUGUAGUGGUGAAAUGCGUAGAUAUCGGGAGGAACACCGGUGGCGAAGGCGGCCAUCUGGACGACUAUUGACGCUGAGACGCGAAAGCAUGGGGAGCAAACAGG